rnacentral:lncRNA from 10 species
CACCAUUCUGCUUGGGUUGUCAGAAAAUUGGCCAAAUUCUCUUAUUCAUUCUACUAUUUUAAAAUUUCUAUGUUCACAAUGAUAUGAUCUAAAACUGCAGAUGAUAUCCAUCUUCCUUGCUGUUUUCCUUCCAAUCCUUUUGCUUAGUUUUUUCACCUUGUUCUUCCGGGAGCCCCUGCUGCUGACGCCGAUGCUGGGGUCUCGGGUGUCCCUUCUCGUCUCGCUCCUGACUUGGGGAGGCAGAUUUCAACAUGGAACAGCAGGGAAAGCUGAUCUGAGUGACGUGCUGUGCUCCAGCACUGGGAAGCUCUCUGCUUAG